rnacentral:rRNA from 1 species
UGCAAGUCGAACGCGAAAGUGGAGCAAUCCAUGAGUAGAGUGGCAAACGGGUGAGUAACGCGUGGGCGACCUACCUUCAAGUGGGGGAUAACCUUCCGAAAGGAGGGCUAAUACCGCAUAACAUCCUGCCUUUGGAUAGGCGGGUAUCAAAGCCGGGGAUCGCAAGACCUGGCGCUAGAAGAGGGGCCCGCGUCCGAUUAGCUAGUUGGUGAGGUAACGGCUCACCAAGGCUCCGAUCGGUAUCCGGCCUGAGAGGGCGGACGGACACACUGGAACUGAGACACGGUCCAGACUCCUACGGGAGGCAGCAGUGGGGAAUUGUUCACAAUGGGCGCAAGCCUGAUGACGCAACGCCGCGUGGAGGAUGAAGAUUUUCGGAUCGUAAACUCCUUUCGACCGAGAUGAAUUCCUGUCGACCUAAUACGUCGACAGGGUGACAGUAUCGAGGGAAGCAGCCCCGGCUAACUCCGUGCCAGCAGCCGCGGUAAUACGGGGGGGGCAAGCGUUGUUCGGAAUUACUGGGCGUAAAGGGUUUGUAGGUGGCUUGCUAAGUCAGACGUGAAAUCCCUCAGCUUAACUGGGGAACUGCGUCUGAGACUGGCAAGCUUGAGUGCAGGAGAGGAACGCGGAAUUCCAGGUGUAGCGGUGAAAUGCGUAGAUAUCUGGAGGAACACCGGUGGCGAAGGCGGCGUUCUGGACUGUAACUGACACUGAGGAACGAAAGCCAGGGGAGCAAACGGGAUUAGAUACCCCGGUAGUCCUGGCCCUAAACGAUGAAUGCUUGGUGUGGCGGGUAUCGAUCCCUGCCGUGCCGUAGUUAACGCGUUAAGCAUUCCGCCUGGGGAGUACGGUCGCAAGGCUG